CCAGAGUGUCAAUAAGACGUAGUGCACUACUUCAGACCAGAGUGUCAAUAAGACGUAGGGCACUACUUCAGACCAGAGUGUCAAUAAGACGUAGUGCACUACUUCAGACCAGAGUGUCAAUAAGACGUAGUGCACUACUUCAGACCAGAGUGUCAAUAAGACGUAGGGCACUACUUUAGACCAGAGUGUCAACGGCUUUGAUCAGAAGUAGUGCACUACUUUAGACCAGAGUGUCAAUAAGACGUAGUGCACUACUUCAGACCAGAGUGUCAAUAAGACGUAGUGCACUACUUCAGACCAGAGUGUCAAUAAGACGUAGGGCACUACUUCAGACCAGAGUGUCAAUAAGACGUAGUGCACUACUUCAGACCAGAGUGUCAAUAAGACGUAGUGCACUACUUCAGACCAGAGUGUCAAUAAGACGUAGGGCACUACUUUAGACCAGAGUGUCAAUAAGACGUAGGGCACUACUUUAGACCAGAGUGUCAAUAAGACGUAGUGCACUACUUUAGACCAGAGUGUCAAUAAGACGUAGGGCACUACUUUAGACCAGAGUGUCAAUAAGACGUAGGGCACUACUUUAGACCAGAGUGUCAAUAAGAGGUAGGGCACUACUUUAGACCAGAGUGUCAAUAAGACGUAGGGCACUACUUUAGACCAGAGUGUCAAUAAGACGUAGUGCACUACUUUAGACCAGUGUCAAUAGGAAGUAGUGCACUACACAGGGAACAGGGCACCAUUUGAGACGCUCAAACCAAAACAUGAUUACACGGUGUUAAGAAAUGUAGAAAAAAACCAACACAGAAAUCCUUUUGGCAUGAGGAUAAAAGCCUUUUUAAGCCAGAGAGGAGUGUAAAGUAAGGCAGUAACUGUCCUUCAUCAAAUUAUAUUAUUACAUAAACAACAUUUUGUUAAUCUAUUGAAUCCUUUUUGGUUAGUUUGUUGUCGUUUUUCACACAGGGGCUGUUGUUGUAUAAAUAUGACCAGUAUGUGCACUUUCAAACAUUCACGUUUAUAUAAAAAAUAAACAUAAACAGUUUCACUUAGACAACAGCCACAGAAGACAUCACCAGGGAAACUGGGCUACAGUGAGAGAUGGCAGCCAUUUUGGAUCUGUUUUAAACAAGGGUCCCUCAUGUCCUUCAGGGGGUACCUAGGUUUAUGCCUGAUUGAAAAAGAGCUUAAAUUAUUUUUUACUUCAGUGAUCCUUUU
ensembl:lncRNA